rnacentral:rRNA from 1 species
CCCUUAGAUGUUCUGGGCCGCACGCGCGCUACACUGAUGCAUUCAACGAGUCUAAAACCUGCUCUGAUAGGGGUGGGUAAUCUUUUGAAUGUGCAUCGUGAUUGGGAUAGAUGAUUGCAAUUUUCCAUCUUCAACGAGGAAUGCCUAGUAAACGCAAGUCAUCAGCUUGCAUUGAUUACGUCCCUGCCCUUUGUACACACCGCCCGUCGCUCCUACCGAUUGAAUGAUCCGAUGAAUAUCAUGGAUUGAGGAUGCAAGUAGGUUAGCCUAUCUUCAUCUUCGAGAAGUGAAGUAAAUCUUAUCAUUUAGAGGAAGGAGAAGUCGUAACA